rnacentral:rRNA from 1 species
UACGUAGGGGGCCAGCGUUGUUCGGAAUUACUGGGUGUAAAGGGUUCGUAGGCGGUGCGGCAAGUUGGGAGUGAAAUCUCUGGGCUUAACCCCAGAGGCUGCUUUCAAAAACUGCUGUGCUUGAGUGUGAGAGAGGCUCGUGGAAUUGCAGGUGUAGCGGUGAAAUGCGUAGAUAUCUGCAGGAACACCCGUGGCGAAAGCGGCGAGCUGGAUCACUACUGACGCUGAGGAACGAAAGCUAGGGGAGCAAACAGG